rnacentral:rRNA from 1 species
UACGAAGGGGGCUAGCGUUGCUCGGAAUCACUGGGCGUAAAGGGUGCGUAGGCGGGUUUUAAGUCAGGGGUGAAAUCCUGGAGCUCAACUCCAGAACUGCCUUUGAUACUGAAGAUCUUGAGUUCGGGAGAGGUGAGUGGAACUGCGAGUGUAGAGGUGAAAUUCGUAGAUAUUCGCAAGAACACCAGUGGCGAAGGCGGCUCACUGGCCCGAUACUGACGCUGAGGCACGAAAGCGUGGGGAGCAAACAGGG